UGGUAACGGGGGAUAACUAUUGGAAACGAUAGCUAAUACCGCAUAAGAUUGAAUAUCGCAUGAUAAUUGAUUAAAAGAUGCAAAUGCAUCACUACCAGAUGGACCUGCGUUGUAUUAGCUAGUAGGUGAGGUAACGGCUCACCUAGGCGACGAUACAUAGCCGACCUGAGAGGGUGAUCGGCCACACUGGGACUGAGACACGGCCCAGACUCCUACGGGAGGCAGCAGUAGGGAAUCUUCGGCAAUGGGGGCAACCCUGGCCGAGCAACGCCGCGUGAGUGAAGAAGGUUUUCGGAUCGUAAAGCUCUGUUGUAAGAGAAGAACGAGUGUGAGAGUGGAAAGUUCACACUGUGACGGUAUCUUACCAGAAAGGGACGGCUAACUACGUGCCAGCAGCCGCGGUAAUACGUAGGUCCCGAGCGUUGUCCGGAUUUAUUGGGCGUAAAGCGAGCGCAGGCGGUUAGAUAAGUCUGAAGUUAAAGGCUGUGGCUUAACCAUAGUACGCUUUGGAAACUGUUUAACUUGAGUGCAGAAGGGGAGAGUGGAAUUCCAUGUGUAGCGGUGAAAUGCGUAGAUAUAUGGAGGAACACCGGUGGCGAAAGCGGCUCUCUGGUCUGUAACUGACGCUGAGGCUCGAAAGCGUGGGGAGCGAACAGGAUUAGAUACCCUGGUAGUCCACGCCGUAAACGAUGAGUGCUAGGUGUUAGGCCCUUUCCGGGGCUUAGUGCCGUAGCUAACGCAUUAAGCACUCCGCCUGGGAGUACGA
rnacentral:rRNA from 1 species